rnacentral:rRNA from 1 species
GAGUGGGCUGCAAAAGAAGUAGGUAGUUUAACCUUCGGGGGGACGCUUACCACUUUGUGGUUCAUGACUGGGGUGAAGUCGUAACAAGGUAGCGCUAGGGGAACCUGGCGCUGGAUCACCUCCUUAAACGAUGAU